ensembl:lncRNA
AUUUCCAUGCCCCGAAAUAGGGAUUUUGGGGUCAAUAUUGGGGUCCAUACUGGGAUUAUAGGGUCCAUAUUGGGGUUAUAGGGUCCAUAUUGGGGUUAUAGGGUCCAUAUAGGGCUUAUAGGGUUUAUAGGGUUUAUAGGGUCUUAUAGGGUCGUAUUAUGGGAUGGAAUCCCACCAGUUCAGUCCACGUUUGAGUCCCUUGUUUUCCAGGCAUUAUGGGGUCAAUAUUGGGGUCCAUAUCGGGUUUAUAGGGUCCAUAUAGGGGUUAUAGGGUCCAUAUCGGGUUUAUAGGGUCGAUAUUGGGGUUAUAGGGUUUAUAGGGUCAUAUUAUGGGAUGGAAUCCCACCAGUUCAGUCCACGUUUGAGUCCCUUGUUUUCAAGGGAUUAUGGGGUCAGUAUUGGGAUUAUAGGGUCCAUAUUGGGUUUAUAGGGUCCAUAUAGGGGUUAUAGGGUCCAUAUAGGGGUUAUAGGGUUUAUAGGGUUUAUAGGGUCUUAUAGGGUCGUAUUAUGGGAUGGAAUCCCAUCAAUUCAGUCCACAUUUGAGUCCUUGUUGAUGCCUUUAGGCCGAUUUCCAGGCAUUAUGGGGUCAGUAUUGGGGUCAAUAUUGGUCUUAUAGGGUCCAUAUUGGGGUUAUAGGGUUUAUAGGGUUUAUAGGGUCCAUAUUGGGGUUAUAGGGUUUAUAGGGUCGAUAUUGGGAUUAUAGGGUUUAUGGGAUGGAAUCCCAUCAUUUCAGUCCAUUUUUGUGUCCUGAGGCCCAUUUCCAUGCCCCGAAAUAGGGAUUUUGGGGUCAAUAUUGGGGUUUUUGGGUUCCAUAUCGGGUUUAUAGGGUUUAUAGGGUUAUAGGGUUUAUAGGGUUUUCUAUGGGGUCAGGCCAGCUGGUGCGGGGCCUCGAGCAUCUCCAUGAGGAAGGUGUCGAUGGGGGUGUCCCCGAUGAGCUUGAAGAAGAACAAAUGUUCCAGGCACUUGAGGCCGAUGGAGCGAAGGGCCGGAAGGCGGAGCAGCAGCUUGGCGAACCUACAGGAUUUGGGGGGAAAAAUGGCGAUUUUGGGUCAUUUUGGGGCAUUUUGAGGGAUUUUAUGGGGUUUUGGGGUCGAAUGGGGGGGAAACUUUGGGGUUUUGGGGGCCAUAAUUUGGGUUUUGGGGGGUCAAUCUGUGGGAUAUUGAGGUCUAUCUUUGGGAUUUGGGGGAUUGGGGUGAAUCUUGAGACAGUUUUGGGGUGAAAAAUGGCGAUUUUGGGUCAUUUUGGGUCAUUUUGGGGGGUUUUAUGGGGUUUUGGGGUUGAAUGGGGGGGAAACUUUGGGGUUUUGGGGUCGAUUUGGGGGUUAAUUUGUGGGAUUUUGGGGUCAAUCAAGGGGCGGGUUGGGGGGGAUUGAGGCGAACCUACAGGAUUUGGGGGGAAAAACGGCGAUUUUGGGUCAUUUUGGGGGAUUUUGGGGGAUUUUAUGGGGUCAGGAGGGGUUUAUAGGGGGGAAUGGGGGGGAUUUUGGGGGUUUUGGGGGUGAAUCUGUGGGAUAUUGGGUUCAAUCUGGGGCUUGUUUAGGGGAAUGGGGGGAAACUGGAGGUGGAUUUGGGGUGAAAAACAGCGAUUUUGGGUCAUUUUGGGGCAUUUUGGGGGGUUUUAUGGGGUUUUGGGGGUUUAUAGGGGGAUUUUGAGGGGGAUUUGGGGGGUUUUGGGGGUCAAUUUGGGGGAGAAUCUGUGGGAUUUUGGGGCCGUCUUUGGGGGAUUGGGGUGAACCUAUAGGAUUUGGGGGGAAAAAUGGAGAUUUUGGGUCAUUUUGGGCGAUUUUUUGGGGUUUUGGGGGUUUGUAGGGGGAUUUUGAGGGGGAUUUGGGGGGUUUUGGGGGCGAAUUUGGGGGUGAAUCUGUGGGAUUUUGGGUUCAAUCUGGGGGUUGUUUGGGGGUUUGGGGUGAACCUACAGGAUUUGGGGUGAAAAAGGGUGAUUUUGGGUCAUUUUGGGGGAUUUUUUGGGGUUUUGGGGUCGAAUGGAGGGGAAACUUUGGGGUUUUGGGGUUGAUUUGGGGGUUUUUGGGGGGUAAAUGAUGAGGUUUUGGGGUCCAAUCUUUGGGUUUUGGGGGGAUUGGGGGGAAACUUGAGGUGGAUUUGGGGUGA